ensembl:snoRNA SNORA62 Small nucleolar RNA SNORA62/SNORA6 family
UUUGAACAAUAAAAAAUCUGGCAUAAUGAACUCACGAGUGUAGGUAGUGUGCUACAUGAUGGGCAAGGCUUUUGGUAACACCACAAGGGUCUCUGGCCCAAUGAAUUGAGAUUGAUAGUAAUUCUUGCUACAAGU